GCCAGACUCCUACGGGAGGCAGCAGUGAGGAAUAUUGGUCAAUGGGCUUACGCCUGAACCAGCCAAGUCGCGUGAGGGAAGACUGCCCUAUGGGUUGUAAACCUCUUUUGUCAGGGAGCAACGCCGGCUACGUGUAGCCGGACUGAGAGUACCUGAAGAAAAAGCAUCGGCUAACUCCGUGCCAGCAGCCGCGGUAAUACGGAGGAUGCGAGCGUUAUCCGGAUUUAUUGGGUUUAAAGGGUGCGUAGGCGGAAUGCCAAGUCAGCUGUGAAAACUACGGGCUUAACCUGUAGACUGCAGUUGAAACUGGUUUUCUUGAGUGAAGUAGAGGUUGGCGGAAUUCCGAGUGUAGCGGUGAAAUGCGUAGAUAUUCGGAGGAACACCGGUGGCGAAGGCGGCCAACUGGGCUUUAACUGACGCUGAGGCUCGAAAGUGUGGGGAGCAAACAGGAUUAGAUACCCCUGUACA
rnacentral:rRNA from 1 species